GAUGAACGCUGGCGGCGUGCUUAACACAUGCAAGUCGAACGAUGAAGCCCAGCUUGCUGGGUGGAUUAGUGGCGAACGGGUGAGUAACACGUGAGUAACCUGCCCUUAACUCUGGGAUAAGCCUGGGAAACUGGGUCUAAUACCGGAUAGGAGCGCCUACCGCAUGGUGGGUGUUGGAAAGAUUUAUCGGUUUUGGAUGGACUCGCGGCCUAUCAGCUUGUUGGUGAGGUAAUGGCUCACCAAGGCGACGACGGGUAGCCGGCCUGAGAGGGUGACCGGCCACACUGGGACUGAGACACGGCCCAGACUCCUACGGGAGGCAGCAGUGGGGAAUAUUGCACAAUGGGCGCAAGCCUGAUGCAGCGACGCCGCGUGAGGGAUGACGGCCUUCGGGUUGUAAACCUCUUUCAGUAGGGAAGAAGCGAAAGUGACGGUACCUGCAGAAGAAGCACCGGCUAACUACGUGCCAGCCGCCGCCGUAA
rnacentral:rRNA from 1 species